UGUUGUAUUGUUGGACAGAAGGAAAGAGAGUGUCACGAAGAAGGGAACUGCUGUCAUUAUUAGCUUGGAAUGGAAUUUGUAUUUUGACAAAAGAUGCAGACAUUUUAAGACCCGCUGAAGUACUCAAUUCGCACAGCGCCGGCAUAUAAUCAUCAAGUUUGAUGAAAUGUCCUAAUAUGUAGAUGCUAAGUCAUUCAGUCACCUAGCUUGUGAGAAUGGAAUGAUCACAAAAAGGACAAGAGCUCAGAGCUGUAUGGAAAUUUACACAAAGGGUCAGUUAACGGAGUAAGCAGAUAUGGAGGAUAAUAUAUCAAAGGCAGCAUAGGCGUCCAAACUCCUGUUCAAGGUGCUUUUAAUCAGAAGCUUAAGAGACAAAAGACGAGCCAUUCACAAGGCAAAACUGAAUGUUUUAUAUGAUAUUGAGCAAGAAAAGUUUGAAGUGUCUUUGGGAAUGAUCAACAUCAAACUUGCUGAGGUUUUGAAGCCAUCGUACCAAAAGUGAAUCCAUUCGUGACACCAAUUAUCUGACCACCCUCUAGCAGAACCAGUGAGGAAGUGAUUCUAGCCAAUACUUCAGAAGUUUAGGACCUUCAAUAAUAAGGAUCUUGGGGCAUGUUGGGGAAAAAAAAUAGCAUGUGUUGAUUUUAUGGGAUCUUCCAAAUAUAGUUGUAUAGUAGAUAUUUGUGUACUUAAUACCUAUGUUUGUCAUUCUAGUCAUUAAAGGUCAUAUGAAACAAUGUCCAGAGCAUUUUUGGUUGUAUACGGAAAUGAGUUCAUCUGAGCUACUUUAAUAAGCCUGAAAUUACAUUUUGGAUUUUUUAGCUCUUCUGAGCCAAAGGCUCAAAGAGCUAAUGCUAUGGCCAUUUGUGCGGUGUGCGGCGUGCGGUGUGCGUAAACUUUUUAGAAUAUGGGCCAUAACUCAAGAACCCCUUGGCCAAUUAUUGUCAAAUUUGUCACAAGGUAUCCUUGGCCCAAGGGCUCCCUUUUAUACUAAAACUGGGGUUGUGACCCUUUAACAAGGGGAGAUAAUUAGGAAAAUAGAAACAAAAGUACUGGUUGCUAAAAAAAUCUUCUUCUCAAGAGCCACUGGGCAGAUUAUAACCAAACUUACACAAAAGGAUGAGGAUAUGUUGUAGAUUAAAAUAUGCACGGGAAUUUACCCUGGGGCAAAGGGCGUGGUCUCAAGGUCACUUCAAAGUUGACCAAAAAUUACAUUUUAUUAAAAUGUUGAUAUUUUGCUUACUAUAAGGACUAGGAUCAUCAAAUCUUGUCAGUUGAUGUAUCUAAGGACCUCAUAUCAUGUUGACUCAAAAGUAGGUCAUGGUGACCUACUUUUUAAAUUUUGCGGCCAUUCUUUUUCAAAAUGAUUUAGAGGCAUAUUUUGAACAAUUUAAGGCCUAUGAUUAUCAAACUUUGUCAGUUGAUGUACCUUGGGUCCUCGAAGUACGUCAACUAAAAAGUAGGUCGACUUGACCUACUUUUUGAAUUUUAUGGCUUAUCUUUUUCAAAACAAUUAAGGUCAUUAAUUUGAAUACCGAGAGGUUUAAAAUCAUUAAAUCUUGUAAGAUGAUGCAUCUUGGGGCCAUAAAACAUAUUUAUUAUACUCCCCGCAAACGAAGUUUAGGGGGGGUAUAUUGGAAUCACCAUGUCCGUCUGUCUGUCCGUCUGUCUGUCCGUCUGUCUGUAGACAAGAUUUUGUCCUGAGCAUUUCUCGGAAACUAUUGCAUAGAUUUGUCUGAAAAUUUGUACACUUAUUAUUCACCAUAUGAAGGUGUGCACCUGGUAUUUUCAUCAUGAUUGAAUAAUUUUUCUGCAUUUUACAGGUGUUUUUUUCAUUUUUAUUAUGUGUUUUGUACUUCCUUUACUCAAAGACUAUUUCAUAGAAUUGUAUGAAAAUUUGUACACUCAUUAUUUACCAUAUGAAGAUGUGCACCUGGUAUUUUCAACAUUAUUUGAUAAUUUUUCUGCAUUUUACAGGUUUUUUUUUUUCAUUUUUAUUGACUUAGUCAUUUUGGGUUUAUUUCUAAGGUUUGAGACACAGAAUCUAGAACAUCUGUACAAAAAUGUGAACUACAGCUUAAAACUAUUCAUUAAAACAAAAACAAAAAAAAAUCACCAAGUAUUAAAAACAAUUUUUACAUUACACAGCAGAUAGUGUAAAUCCAUUUGUCCCUUGGGAGUAAUGAGUGGACAUCAUCCAGUUAGAGAUAAAUUAAUGAGUUCAGUGUGGGAAGUUGUUAGGGCCUCUCUGAUCAAGCAUGUGUUAUCUAUAUCUCCUGGGAAUUUCAAGAUCUCUGUUCUUUAAUUCUCUUAAUUGUAAUUUAUUGUCUGUCAUAGUACAUAGUUACUGGAUGACCAGCCUUUCAUUUUUAAAAUGAAUUUGAUAUAAAGUUAUCAAGAUUAAUUUGAUUCUGUAAUUAAUUGAUUUUUUUUCAACAAUCAAUGCAGAAUGUCAUGUCUCAAAAAGAUGACAGAUAGUUGCAAUUUAUUUUUUCAAUAUAUUAAAAAACAAUGUAACUACAAUGUAUUGGUAUUGAUGUUUUAUUAGGUUGUUCCUUGGUUUCAUGCAUUAAAAAAAAUAAAAUGAGCAAUUAUUUUUUCACUCUAAAUGUUAAUAAGAAAACACCUCUUAGAUCCAUAAAAUAUUAGUGAUUUAGCACCUCUGAAAAACCCAGCGGGGGGUAUUUGUCCCUUUUGGACAGUUCUAGUUAAAAAGUAGGUCACAGUGACCUACUUUUUGAACUUU